rnacentral:rRNA from 1 species
AUAAUCAUGGAGUAUAAUAAUUAAAUUUAAUAAAUUUAAUAUAACUAUUAAUAGAAUUAGGUUACUAAUAAAUUAAUAACAAUUAAUUUUAAAACCUAAAGGUAAACCUUUAUAUUAAUAAUGUUUUUUUUUAUUAUUUUUAUAAUAAGAAUAAUUAUUAAUAAUAAUAAACUAAGUGAACUGAAACAUCUAAGUAACUUAAGGAUAAGAAAUCAACAGAGAUAUUAUGAGUAUUGGUGAGAGAAAAUAAUAAAGGUCUAAUAAGUAUUAUGUGAAAAAAAUGUAAGAAAAUAGGAUAACAAAUUCUAAGACUAAAUACUAUUAAUAAGUAUAGUAAGUACCGUAAGGGAAAGUAUGAAAAUGAUUAUUUUAUAAGCAAUCAUGAAUAUAUUAUAUUAUAUUAAUGAUGUACCUUUUGUAUAAUGGGUCAGCAAGUAAUUAAUAUUAGUAAAACAAUAAGUUAUAAAUAAAUAGAAUAAUAUAUAUAUAUAUAAAAAUAUAUUAAAAUAUUUAAUUAAUAUUAAUUGACCCGAAAGCAAACGAUCUAACUAUGAUAAGAUGGAUAAACGAUCGAACAGGUUGAUGUUGCAAUAUCAUCUGAUUAAUUGUGGUUAGUAGUGAAAGACAAAUCUGGUUUGCAGAUAGCUGGUUUUCUAUGAAAUAUAUGUAAGUAUAGCCUUUAUAAAUAAUAAUUAUUAUAUAAUAUUAUAUUAAUAUUAUAUAAAGAAUGGUACAGCAAUUAAUAUAUAUUAGGGAACUAUUAAAGUUUUAUUAAUAAUAUUAAAUCUCGAAAUAUUUAAUUAUAUAUAAUAAAGAGUCAGAUUAUGUGCGAUAAGGUAAAUAAUCUAAAGGGAAACAGCCCAGAUUAAGAUAUAAAGUUCCUAAUAAAUAAUAAGUGAAAUAAAUAUUAAAAUAUUAUAAUAUAAUCAGUUAAUGGGUUUGACAAUAACCAUUUUUUAAUGAACAUGUAACAAUGCACUGAUUUAUAAUAAAUAAAAAAAAAUAAUAUUUAAAAUCAAAUAUAUAUAUAUUUGUUAAUAGAUAAUAUACGGAUCUUAAUAAUAAGAAUUAUUUAAUUCCUAAUAUGGAAUAUUAUAUUUUUAUAAUAAAAAUAUAAAUACUGAAUAUCUAAAUAUUAUUAUUACUUUUUUUAAUAAUAAUAAUAUGGUAAUAGAACAUUUAAUGAUAAUAUAUAUUAGUUAUUAAUUAAUAUAUGUAUUAAUUAAAUAGAGAAUGCUGACAUGAGUAACGAAAAAAAGGUAUAAACCUUUUCACCUAAAACAUAAGGUUUAACUAUAAAAGUACGGCCCCUAAUUAAAUUAAUAAGAAUAUAAAUAUAUUUAAGAUGGGAUAAUCUAUAUUAAUAAAAAUUUUAUCUUAAAAUAUAUAUAUUAUUAAUAAUUAUAUUAAUAAUAUAUAUAAUUAUAUUAUAUAUUAUAUAUUUUUUUUUAUAUAAUAUAAACUAAUAAAGAUCAGGAAAUAAUUAAUGUAUACCGUAAUGUAGACCGACUCAGGUAUGUAAGUAGAGAAUAUGAAGGUGAAUUAGAUAAUUAAAGGGAAGGAACUCGGCAAAGAUAGCUCAUAAGUUAGUCAAUAAAGAGUAAUAAGAACAAAGUUGUACAACUGUUUACUAAAAACACCGCACUUUGCAGAAACGAUAAGUUUAAGUAUAAGGUGUGAACUCUGCUCCAUGCUUAAUAUAUAAAUAAAAUUAUUUAACGAUAAUUUUAUUAAAUUUAGGUAAAUAGCAGCCUUAUUAUGAGGGUUAUAAUGUAGCGAAAUUCCUUGGCCUAUAAUUGAGGUCCCGCAUGAAUGACGUAAUGAUACAACAACUGUCUCCCCUUUAAGCUAAGUGAAAUUGAAAUCGUAGUGAAGAUGCUAUGUACCUUCAGCAAGACGGAAAGACCCUAUGCAGCUUUACUGUAAUUAGAUAGAUCGAAUUAUUGUUUAUUAUAUUCAGCAUAUUAAGUAAUCCUAUUAUUAGGUAAUCGUUUAGAUAUUAAUGAGAUACUUAUUAUAAUAUAAUGAUAAUUCUAAUCUUAUAAAUAAUUAUUAUUAUUAUUAUUAAUAAUAAUAAUAUGCUUUCAAGCAUAGUGAUAAAACAUAUUUAUAUGAUAAUCACUUUACUUAAUAGAUAUAAUUCUUAAGUAAUAUAUAAUAUAUAUUUUAUAUAUAUUAUAUAUAAUAUAAGAGACAAUCUCUAAUUGGUAGUUUUGAUGGGGCGUCAUUAUCAGCAAAAGUAUCUGAAUAAGUCCAUAAAUAAAUAUAUAAAAUUAUUGAAUAAAAAAAAAUAAUAUAUAUUAUAUAUAUUAAUUAUAAAUUGAAAUAUGUUUAUAUAAAUUUAUAUUUAUUGAAUAUAUUUUAGUAAUAGAUAAAAAUAUGUACAGUAAAAUUGUAAGGAAAACAAUAAUAACUUUCCUCAAAAAAUAAUUAUGGAAAGAAUUAAAUUAAUAUAAUGGUAUAACUGUGCGAUAAUUGUAACACAAACGAGUGAAACAAGUACGUAAGUAUGGCAUAAUGAACAAAUAACACUGAUUGUAAAGGUUAUUGAUAACGAAUAAAAGUUACGCUAGGGAUAACAGGGUAAUAUAACGAAAGAGUAGAUAUUGUAAGUUAUGUUUGCCACCUCGAUGUCGACUCAACAUUUCCUCUUGGUUGUAAAAGCUAAGAAGGGUUUGACUGUUCGUCAAUUAAAAUGUUACGUGAGUUGGGUUAAAUACGAUGUGAAUCAGUAUGGUUCCUAUCUGCUGAAGGAAAUAUUAUCAAAUUAAAUCUCAUUAUUAGUACGCAAGGACCAUAAUGAAUCAACCCAUGGUGUAUCUAUUGAUAAUAAUAUAAUAUAUUUAAUAAAAAUAAUACUUUAUUAAUAUAUUAUCUAUAUUAGUUUAUAUUUUAAUUAUAUAUUAUCAUAGUAGAUAAGCUAAGUUGAUAAUAAAUAAAUAUUGAAUACAUAUUAAAUAUGAAGUUGUUUUAAUAAGAUAAUUAAUCUGAUAAUUUUAUACUAAAAUUAAUAAUUAUAGGUUUUAUAUAUUAUUUAUAAAUAAAUAUAUUAUAAUAAUAAUAAUAAUUAUUAUUAAUAAAAAAUAU